rnacentral:rRNA from 1 species
GCACAUCUCAGAGCCAAUAUCAAAUAAAUUAAAUUAAUUAAAUUACAAUCAAAUCCACCUUCAUUAAAAUAUUUAAAUUUUAAAUUCAUCAUAAACAAGAACUUAUUGUAACCCACCACCUCUUAAUUAUAAACUGCACCUUGACCUGAAAUAUUUUAUAAUCAUAAAUUAAGAAAAUUAUAACUCUAAAAAGAUUUUCUGAUAACGGAGAUAUACAAGCAAAUAAAUUAAGUAGAAUUAAUCGUGUAUUAUCAAUUACGGGGUAGGUUCCUCUGAAUGGAAUGAGAUACCGCCAAAUUCUUUGGGUUUAAAGAUCUUAACUAAUAAUACCCAGGUAAAUAUAAUUAACACUUAAA